rnacentral:rRNA from 1 species
UACGGAGGGUGCAAGCGUUAUCCGGAUUCACUGGGUUUAAAGGGAGCGCAGGCGGAUUGGUAAGUCAGUGGUGAAAGGCUUGAGCUUAACUCGGGAGCUGCCAUUGAUACUAUCAGUCUUGAAUAUUGUUGAGGUUUGCGGAAUGGGUCAUGUAGCGGUGAAAUGCAUAGAUAUGACCCGGAACACCUAUUGCGAAGGCAGCAGGCUAAACAAAGAUUGACGCUGAGGCUCGAAAGCGUGGGGAUCAAACAGG